ACGGGGCGCAGCAGGCGCGAAACCUCCACAAUGCGCGAAAGCGUGAUGGGGUUAUCCCGAGUGCCGUCCGAUGAGGAUGGCUUUUCAUCGGUGUAAGGAUCCGAUGGAAUAAAGGGGGGGCAAGACUGGUGUCAGCCGCCGCGGUAAUACCAGCCCCCUGAGUGGUAAGGACGAUUAUUUGGCCUAAAGCGUCCGUAGCCGGCUUAUCAAGUCUUUUGUUAAAUCCAACGAUUCAAUCGUUGGGCCGCAAAAGAUACUGUUAUGCUAGAGGACGGGAGAGGUCGACGGUAGUCCAGGGGUAGGGGUGAAAUCCUAUAAUCCUUGGAGGACCACCAGUGGCGAAGGCGGUCGACUAGAACGUGCCUGACGGUGAGGGACGAAAGCUGGGGGAGCGAACCGGAUUAGAUACCCGGGUAGUCCCAGCUGUAAACGAUGCGGGCUAGGUGUUGGGGUAGCCACGAGCUGCCCCAGUGCCGCAGAGAAGUUAUUAAGCCCGCCGCCUGGGGAGUACGGCCGCAAGGCUGAAACUUAAAGGAAUUGGCGGGGGAACACCACAAGGGGUGAAGGCUGCGGUUUAAUUGGAGUCAACGCCGGGAACCUUACCGGGGCUGACAGCAGAGUGAAGGCCAGACUGAAGAUCUUGCCAGACAAGCUGAGAGGAGGUGCAUGGCCGUCGACAGUUCGUGCCGUGAGGUGUCCUGUUAAGUCAGGCAACGAACGAGACCCCUGCCUUUAGUUGCCAGCGGAUUCCAACGAAAUGCCGGGCACACUAACGGGACUGCCACCGAUAAGGUGGAGGAAGGGGGGGGCAACGGCAGGUCAGUAUGCCCCGAAUGCCUCGGGCCACACGCGGCCUGCAAUGGUAGGGACAAUGGGAUCCGACCUUGAAAAAGGAAGGCAAUCCUUAAACCCUAUCUCAGUCGGGAUUGAGGGCUGAAACUCGCCCUCAUGAACAUGGAAUCCCUAGUAACCGCGUGUCAUCAUCGCGCGGUGAAUACGUCCCCGCUCCUUGCACACACCGCCCGUCGCUCCAUCCAAGUCGGGUCUAGAUGAGGCUUAGUCUCAUUGGCCAUGUCGAAUCUGGGUUCGGUAAGGGGGGAGAAGUCGUAACAAGGUAGCCGU
rnacentral:rRNA from 1 species